AAGAAAAAAAGGUUACGUAUCCGUUAGGGUUGAGUUAGGGUUAGGGAAACCGUAAGUAGUCAGAAACAGGUAAGUAAUUAAGGUUAGGACAUGGAGAGUGGGUGAGGUGCCGAGUCUCUAUGCACGGGCCAUCCUGUUCUGGUUCAGGUGAGUCCUAUUUUAGAUUGAGACCUUCAGGAAAUAUUGUGCCCAAUUUUGUGAUCCAUUCCCUCUCAGCUCUGACUCUCUGUGCAUUCUUCCAGUCUGGAUCCCUCUGGAGGACUGUGGCUCGAACAGACGACCAUCCAUGGGAGACAAAAUGGCUGACAAGGGGUGGUGGUAUCCAGGAAGUCGACUGACGUGGUGCUGGUGGUGGAUUUCAGCUUGAUGGACGGGUUAUGAUUAUUCAAGGAUGCCAGGGCAGAUGUCUCCCACUCCGCCAUAAAAAUGUUUGCGUAUGCCGAUGCGAAUUUCUUUCCCAUGGCAGUGCCUUUAAUUUGUAGAUAGAAAUUACUGUCGAAUUCAAAAUCAUUUCUUCUGAGAAUAAUUUCUAAUAACUGUA